AACGGAGGGUGUGAGCGUUAUUCGGAUUCAUUGGGCGUAAAGGGUGUGUAGGCGGUCAGCCAAGUCUGAUGUGAAAGCCCGGGGCUUAACCUCGGAAGGGCGUUGGAAACUGGUCGACUUGAGUUUGGGAGAGGAAAGCGGAAUUCCGGGUGUAGAGGUGAAAUUCGUAGAUACCAGGAGGAACACCGGUGGCGAAGGCGACUUUCUGGCCCUAUACUGACGCUGAGACGCGAAAGCGUGGGUAGCAAACAGG
rnacentral:rRNA from 1 species